rnacentral:rRNA from 1 species
GCUUACGGCCACACCGCCCUGGUUCACGCCCGAUCUCGUUUGAUCUCGGAAGCUAAGAUAGGUUGGGCCUGGUUAGUACUUGGAUGGGAGACCGCCUGGGAAUACCAGAUGCUGUAAGCU